UCGGGAAUUUUGGGCAAUGGGCGAAAGCCUGACCCAGCAACGCCGCGUGAAGGAUGAAGUAUUUCGGUAUGUAAACUUCGAAAGAAUAGGAAGAAUAAAUGACGGUACUAUUUAUAAGGUCCGGCUAACUACGUGCCAGCAGCCGCGGUAAUACGUAGGGACCAAGCGUUGUUCGGAUUUACUGGGCGUAAAGGGUGCGUAGGCGGCAAUUCAAGUCAUCUGUGAAAUCUCCGGGCUUAACUCGGAACGGUCAGAUGAUACUGCUUUGCUAGAGUGCAGAAGGGGCAAUCGGAAUUCUUGGUGUAGCGGUGAAAUGCGUAGAUAUCAAGAGGAACACCUGAGGUGAAGACGGGUUGCUGGGCUGACACUGACGCUGAGGCGCGAAAGCCAGGGGAGCAAACGGGAUUAGAUACCCCGGUAGUCCCUGAGCGGGCUGGCAAGGCGCAU
rnacentral:rRNA from 1 species